GGAACUAAAAUUGAAUCAAACACAAGAAAGAUCACAGAAAGACCAAGGUACUCUAAUGGGAUUUUCUUUAAUUGGUUGAGCGAUUUAUCUAGUUAAUUAUGUUAACGAACGAGACCUCAGCCUUCUAACUAGCUAUGUAGAGGUACCCCUCCGCGACUAGCUUUUUAGAGGGACUAUGACCUUUUAGGCAGCGAAAGUUUGAGGCAAUAACAGGUCAAUGAUGCCCUUAGAUGUUCUGGGUUGUACUCAUGCUACACUGAUGUAUUCAACGAGUUUAGAACCUUGGCUGAAAGGUCUGGGUAAUCUUUAAAAUUUUAUCGUGAUGGGGAUAGAUCAUUAUAAUUGUUGGUCUUCAACGAGGA
rnacentral:rRNA from 1 species